rnacentral:sRNA from 1 species
GCCAUGGUGGUGCACCCCUGUAAUCCCAGCUGCUCAGGAGGCCGAGGCAGGAGAAUCACAAGCUUGAGGCUAUACUCAGCAACAUAGUGAGACCCUGUCUCAA